AUGACUCUAUGUUUGUAUAACAUUCCUCCUUGGUUGUGCAUGAAGCGGAAGUUCAUUAUGAUGCCAGUGCUCAUCCAAGGCCCUAAGCAACCCGGCAACGACAUUGAUGUGUACCUAAGGCCAUUAGUUGAAGAACUCUUACAACUGUGGAAUGGAACAGGUGUUCGUGCGUGGGAUGAGCACAUGGGGGAAGAAUUUGACCUAAAAGCAUUGCUGUUCGUGACCAUCAAUGAUUGGCCUGCUCUCAGUAACCUUUCAGGACAGACAAACAAGGGAUACCGCGGAUGCACGCACUGUUUGGAUGAUACCGACAGUAUAUAUUUGAAUAGUUGUAAGAAGAAUGUGUACCUGGGACAUCGUCGAUUUCUUCCGAGCAGGCAUCCCGUAAGAAAGAAAGGCAAGCAUUUCAAAGGUGAGGCGGAUCACCGGACGAAGCCUCGCCACCGUACUGGUGCUGAUGUACAUGAUAUGGUCAAGGAUUUGAAGAUGAUAUUUGGAAAGGGUCCUGGCGGACAACCUGUUCCGAAGGAUGCUGAUGGACGCGCACCCAUGUGGAAGAAGAAAUCUAUAUUUUGGGACCUACCAUAUUGGAAAGACCUAGAGGUCCGCUCCGCAAUCGACGUGAUGCAUGUGACGAAGAAUCUUUGCGUGACCCUGCUUGGCUUCUUGGGCAUGUAUGGGAAGACAAAAGGUACACCUGAGGCAUGGGAGGACCAGCAACGUAUGCACGGAGAAGACGGCAUACAUCAGGGUCAUGCAAGCUACGCUCUUACCAAAGAAGAGAAGGAAAUCUUCUUUGAAUGCUUGCUCAGUAUUAAGGUACCGUCUGGCUUCUCGUCGAAUAUAAAGGGAAUAAUAAACAUGGCAGAGAAAAAUUUCCAGAACCUAAAGUCUCAUGACUGCCACGUGAUUAUGAUGCAACUGCUUCCGGUUGCAUUGAGGGGGCUUCUACCGGAAAACGUUCGAUUAGCCAUUGUGAAGCUAUGUGCAUUUCUCAAUGCAAUCUCUCAGAAGGUAAUCGAUCCAAAAAUCAUACCAAGGUUACAGAAUGAUUUGGUGCAAUGUCUUGUCAGUUUCGAGUUGGUGUUCCCACCAUCCUUCUUCAACAUCAUGACGCACGUCCUAGUUCACCUAUGCGAAGAGAUUAACGUUUUGGGUACUGUAUUUCUACACAAUAUGUUCCCCUUUGAGAGGUUCAUGGGAGUCUUAAAGAAAUAUGUUCAUAACCGUGCUAGGCCAGAAGGAAGCAUCUCGAAGGGCCAUCAAAAUGAGGAGGUCAUUGAGUUUUGUAUUGACUUUAUUCCUGACCUUAAGCCGAUUGGUGUUCCUGAAUCGCGGCAUAAGGGCAGACUGGAUGGAAAAGGCACGCUAGGAGGGGAACAAAUAAUAUGUAUGGACGGACAUUCCCUCAUUGAAGCACACUACAUAGUUCUACAGAAUUCCGCCUUGGUGGCUCCGUAUAUGGAUGAACACAAGAAUUUGCUACGCUCCAAACACCCGGAGCGGUCUGAUGACUGGAUUACACGUGAACAAACCAGGAGUUUCGCCAGCUGGUUGCAGACACGUACCAUGCAUGACACCUCUAUUGAAGAUGACCUGUACUUGUUGUCCCAGUUACCAUCUUCGAAUAUAAUGACUUUCAAAGGGUACGAGAUAAAUGGUAAUACAUUUUACACGAUCGCCCAAGAUAAGAAGAGCACCAACCAAAACAGUAGUGUCUGCUUUGAUGCAGAAACCAAGACGGGAAAGGAAACAUAUUAUGGUUAUAUACAUGACAUAUGGAAACUUGACUAUCGACGUGGUUUAAAGGUCCCUUUGUUUCGGUGCAAAUAG
rnacentral:rRNA from 1 species